GUGGGGAAUAUUGGACAAUGGGGGCAACCCUGAUCCAGCCAUGCCGCGUGAGUGAUGAAGGCCUUCGGGUUGUAAAGCUCUUUUGGUGGGGACGAUGAUGACGGUACCCACAGAAUAAGCUCCGGCUAACUUCGUGCCAGCAGCCGCGGUAAUACGAAGGGAGCUAGCGUUGUUCGGAAUUACUGGGCGUAAAGGGCGCGUAGGCGGUCAGGCAAGUCAGGUGUGAAAGCCCUGGGCUCAACCCGGGAAUUGCGCUUGAUACUACUUGGCUUGAAUUCGGGAGAGGUUGGUGGAAUUCCCAGUGUAGAGGUGAAAUUCGUAGAGAUUGGGAAGAACACCCGUGGCGAAGGCGGCCAACUGGACCGACAUUGACGCUGAGGCGCGAAAGCGUGGGGAGCAAACAGGAUUAGAAACCCCUGUAGUCC
rnacentral:rRNA from 1 species